rfam:Salmo salar isolate Sally breed double haploid chromosome ssa09, whole genome shotgun sequence.
GAAGCACCAAUUUGUAAGUCGCUCUGGAUAAGAGCGUCUGCUAAAUGACUUAAA